rnacentral:rRNA from 1 species
AUUGAACGCUGGCGGCAGGCCUAACACAUGCAAGUCGAGCGGCAGCGGGUCCUUCGGGGUGCCGGCGAGCGGCGGACGGGUGAGUAAUGCCUAGGAAUCUGCCUGGUAGUGGGGGAUAACGUUCGGAAACGGACGCUAAUACCGCAUACGUCCUGCGGGAGAAAGUGGGGGAUCUUCGGACCCUCCGCUAUCAGAUGAGCCUAGGUGGGAUUAGCUAGUUGGUGGGGUAACGGCUCACCAAGGCGACGAUCCGUAACUGGUCUGAGAGGAUGAUCAGUCACACUGGAACUGAGACACGGUCCAGACUCCUACGGGAGGCAGCAGUGGGGAAUAUUGGACAAUGGGCGAAAGCCUGAUCCAGCCAUGCCGCGUGUGUGAGGAAGGUCUUCGGAUUGUAAAGCACUUUAAGUUGGGAGGAAGGGCAGCUAGUUAAUACCUGGUUGUUUUGACGUUACCAACAGAAUAAGCACCGGCUAACUUCGUGCCAGCCGCCGCAGUAAUAC